GACUGCAGUCUGGUCAAUAUUUUUCCUCGUAUUCUCUUGUAUGUGACCUCAUUUCAGUCAUAAGACAUCAAAGCAAUGGCCAUUUUUGUCUUUAUGGCAGGUAGAAACCCUAAGCACAUACUGGUUGGCUUCCUUGGGAGUUUUAUCUCAAAGUGUGGAAUUGCUGGAGUUCUCGCUGUGGCGCCAGGGGAUUGGCGGUGUCUCUGCAGUGUCAGGAUGCAGGUUCGAUCCCCAGCCCAGCACAGUGGGUUAAAGGAUCCGGUGUUGCCACAGCGGCAGCUUGGGUCACAGCUGUGGCUCGGAUCUGAACUCCCUAUGUUGUGGGGCAGCCAAAAAUGGAAAAACAAAAACAACCCGUGGAAUUGCAUCAUGGUAAUAUCUCUGGGGUUCCUGGGGCAAAAAGAAGCAAAGAAGGAACCAAGAUAUAUGGCUUUGGGGCUGGGCCAGUUGAGAAGAUCACUGAGGCACAAAUUCCGUUCCCUUUUCCACUCCAGCCCAAGAAGAGGACGCUUAGGAGAGAAAGAAGAGGAGAUCCUAGUUCCAGGAAAAGAAAACAUGGGUGAUGCCUACUGACAGACGCCAUCCCAGCCUGGAGUCAGAGGAAGAGCGUGGCCUGGGCUGUCAGAACCGGUGAUGUGACUUCAUGUGUGUCAGCUCACCUCCCUGGGCCUCAGUAUCCUCAUGAGUCAACUGAAUGGUGCCCGUGGCAGACACACUCGGUGGCUCACCCAGGAACUGUGACCUGUCCCCUCAUCUGGGGAAAACCAGUUUUGUUCUGGGCUCUGCUUUCAGCCCCAGAACCUGAAACUGAUGGGUCUGAACUGAGCAUAUAAAUUCCCCUUUUCCAGCAUUUGAUUUAGGGUUGAGCAUGUGUUAAAGGGUUUCCCCACAAAGCAGAUAUGUUGGCAUCUCAACACUGGCAGCCCGGGACCUCAGAAUGUGCCUUACUGGGGACAGGGGCUUCGUGACAGCGAUCAGUCAGUGGGGUGGGCUCUGACCCAGUCUGAUUAGUGUCUACAUGAAAAGCAGAAAUCUGGACACAGAGAUGGCCAUGCCACAGAGGGGGGUCAGUGGGAAGAAACACAGGGGCAGGGGGGAAACAGUCGUGGAUAAGCGAGAAGUCAGCCUGGGACAGACUCUCCCUCUCAGCCUCAGAAGGAACCGACCCUGUUGACACCUGAUUUCAGACUGUGGCUUCUGGAACUGUGAGAUCCUAUAGCGCUGUUGUGGAAGCUGCUGUUUGCGGUCCUCUGUGGUGGCAGACCUAGGCCUUUUUUUUUUUUAAUUUAAUUUUUUUCCUUUUCUUUUUUUUGUUUCAGGGCCACACCUGUGGCAUAUGGAGGCUCCCAGGCUAGGGGUUGAAUCGGAGCUGCAGCUGCCGGCCUAUACCACAGCCGCAGCGACACGGGAUCUGAGCCCUGUGUGCAACCUACACCACACUCAUGGCAACACUGCAACACUGGACCUUAACCCAUUGAGCGAGGCCAAGGAUCGAACCUGCAUCCUCAUGGAUACUAGUCAGGUUCUUAACCCACUGAGCCACAACGGGAACUCCCCUAGGACUUUAAUAUAGCGUGUUCUGGUCUAAGAGCUCAGCGAAGGCAUUUUCUCCCUAAGAAUAAACAGAGAGGACUGUGAGGAGAGAAUCAGCUUUCCUUUUUGCUCCCUCCCACAGGACGUGUGAAGCCUUGGGACUCCGCACUCUGGAGCGAUCUUAUGAUGCGCCAGGCAUGCCCUGGACAAAGGCUUCUCACAAGCUUGGCAGAGUAGAGCGAAAGAGCCUGGGGCCUUUCUAGGAUGCCAAGUUCACCUCCAGCCAUCGACUUCCAGGCUUAGUGCUUUAGGAUGUAAUGACACAUCUUUCUUACAUGAGCCAAUCUCAAAUAUUGGGAAACAGUUAUUUAAGUUCCAACACAAUAUGAUUCUAAUUGUUUAUCCUUAUAUGCCCCCAAAGCUGAUCUUUGGCUCUCUCUUCAUAAGUUAUGACUCAUGGCAACGCCAGAUCCUUAACCCACUGAGCGCGGCCAGGGACUGAACCCACAACCUCAUGGUUCCUAGUUGGAUUUGUUUCUGAUGCACCAUGAAGGGAACUCCUUUAAGCCUAUUUUUAAGGCUGCUGAAUCCUUUUAGUAGCUGAAGUUCUACCUAUAUCCCGCAGCUGUAGCACAGAUAAAAGCAGGGGUGGUUCUUACAACACCUGCACAAAACACUGGCUACUCUCAGUCCAAACCAGUGCAUUUGCCAAAGUAACACUUGUUACUAAUGGGUGUUCAACAAUGACUUUUUUUUUUUUUGGCCACACUGGCAGCAUAUGGAAGUUCAAGGCCAGGGAUCAAACUUGAGCCACAGCAGUGAGCCAAGCCACGGUAGUGACAACAGUAGAUCCUUAACUGCUAGGCCACCAGGGAACUCCAACAAUGACUUUUGAUAUGGGUUAUUAGAGGCAACCUGCAAAGAUACAUAAAACGCAAAAGAAUCAAAGAAUGGAAAGAAUCAGGACAAAGUUGGCUGUUCAAAAAUCAUACCCAGAUCUGUGCCAGAUGCUUCUGUGCAGCUCCUAGAGAGGUGAGGAUUUCGUCUCUAAAUGUCUCAGUAGUGGAAGCAAAGAGAUAUGCAAGAUGACUCACAAGAAACACAACAUCCUUAAAGUAAGGUGCCCAGCUGUUCAGGAAAGUAGAUUUUUGUGAUAAUGAGACCCAAUAAAAAUGUCUCCUGUGAAUUCUCACCAGAGGAACCGGGAUGUAAUAGGCGACACCUUCAACAAUGUCUUCUUCAAUAGAUACAGGGACAAAUGUGUGCACCUGUUUCUUACAUUCCUCCAGAGGCCAACGGGGUAACAUCGAAGUGCCGUUGGAUAAAAGCAGUGUUUGUGGAGUUAAGGGAGGGUGGCAGGAAGAGCAAAGCAGUUUCUGAAGAGCCAAAGCCCAGCUCUUUAUUGAUGUGGCAAAGCUCCCCCUUCCUCCCCCUUAACACAGAUGCUUACUUCCUGUAGAAGAAACAAACCAAAAAUGUUUCUUUAUUGUGUUUCAUGCUUAUAAAAGUAAUGCCUAUUCAUUCCAAAAGUGUGACUAAUGCUGAAAUAGGAAGCACAGAAGGUAUCAUUUCCAGAAACCCCAUUCCUCAAAGGUGACCACUCAUUUCAGUUUAAGCAUCUUCUCCUGCAAUUUUUCACAAGCUCACAGCUCUCAUUUACAUACAUACUCACCAACUACGAUCAUAUCUGAUUUAAUGUUUAGAGUCUCACCUCCUAGUGACUGUGGAUCAGCUUGAAAAUGCGUGAAAACUACUCGAUCCUCGGUGGAUGGCUAUUUGAAUAUGUUUUUCUUACUAUUAAAAAUAAAGAUUCCAUGAAUUUCUACAGGCCUAAUUUCACAAAGUUCUUUUCAGACUUCUCUGGAGUCCCAGUGCAAACCUCCUACAGUGGCAGGACCUGAUGUGAGCUCAUUUGCUUUCUCUCUUUCCCUUCAAAGUUAUCUUGUGCUUCAUUUUUGAAGGCCUUGACUUCUCUCUGAUGACUCACAGCUCAGAAGGAAACAGUUUCCUGCUGAAUGUCACUGAGAACAGCUUGCAAUGUUCUCUCCUGGUUAAUAAGUUUCCACCGCAGUGGGGUCCUAGAAACAAUACAUCAUCCACAGUCAGGAACUUUUUGAAAGUUAGAGUCAGGUGGGCAGGUGAUGUGUCAGGUCAGAUAUGCAGAAGGUCAGUGGCAGAGAAACCAAGUCAGUCUUGCACGCACUCAUGCACACACGGCUGGCAUAUUUGGAAGGCUGCCUAACCAUGGUGAAGGGCAAGGGCACUGGCACCAAGCUGCUUGGGUUUAAAUCCUGGCCCCAGCACUGGGUGUGUGUGACCUUGGGCAACUUACUAAGCCUGUCUCUGCCUCAAUGUCGUCAUCUCUAAAGUAGCUAAUGCGAGUCUUAGGAAGAAUAAAUGCGGCGCUAACUAUACAGCACUUGGAACAGCACUAGCAUGGAGUAGACUAAGAAUUUGAAAAAUAAAUAAAAUCUACUGUCGAUCUGUACCCCUUUGGUGCAGAUGCUUUUAAGCACUUCCUAACCGCAUGCUGCUAGACACCUGGACCCACAUGGAGGAAUUGCAGCAAUCAAAGCCCAUUUUUUCUAUGGCUAAUCAACUCCCCAUUUCCUAAAUCGGUUCUUGAUCCAUUUACACACUCACUGUCAUACCCAAAGUUUUAUUUUGGUUGGACACAUCCUCAUAAAUGCAAAUGAAAACACUCAUUCUGUUCUAAUCAAAGUUACAUUUUUUUUGGAUGAAGAUAUAAUGGAUUAGACAUUGAUUUAAUAAAUGGUUACUGGAGGUCCCACUGUGACUCAGCGGUAAAGAACCAGACUGGUAUCCAUGAGGAGGAUGAGGGUUCAAUCCCUGGCCUCGCUCAGUGGGUUAAGGAUCCAGCAUUGCCAUAAGCUGUGGUGUAGGUCGCAGAUGCAGCUCAGAUCCCACAUUGCUGUGGCUGUGGUGUAGGCCAGCAGCUCCGAUUAGACCCCUAGCCUGGGAACUUCCAUAUGUCAUGGGUAUGGCCCUAAAAAGACGAAAGAAAGAAAGAAAGAAAGACAGAGAGAGAGAGAGAGAGAGAAAGAAAGACAGAGAGAGAGAGAGAAAGAAAGAUGAGAGAAAGAAAUGGUUACUAUUGACAAGUUUGUAAUAGAUCAAAUACUUUGGAUAUUAAAGAACAUUAUUGAAUUAUAUUUUGUUAAAUUUAAUUACUAUAUGAAAAUGUCAUUUUUUAAAAUUCAGUGAAUUUUAUUGUGUUUAUAGUUGUACAACCAUCAUCACAACCUAAUUUUAGAACAUUUCCACCCUGAUACAAAAUUUUUAAUCCCCAAUUUCAGUCCAAAGCACAUUUGAAAUUGUUUGACAAAUGUCGCUUAAGGCGAGAAAAUACUCCAUUGGUGUAAUUCUAAAAACAGAGAAAAUUUUCAAAGUAAACCCCAGCCCUGCAACAGAUUUUACUAGGCAUUUUUCCAAAAUGGCCUACUAAAUCAGUGCUAUUAUUUUUUGGUGAAGAAAAGCUCAACAAUAACCAGCUUUAUCCACCUACAGAAGCAUAUUCUAGAAACAUCCUUGGGAGUACUCACAAACAAUGCUCUGUUUAUACUCUGUGUCGUUUCCACCACAGGCCAGCCCCAGGUGCUUCAGGAGACUGAAAACACCCAAAAAUGUUCACAGAGCAACACACUGAACUCACUAACUUCUUCUGGGAACGUCUUUGGGCCCUGCCUAUGGUGGAGCCUGAAAUACAAAGCAAUCUUGCUCACAUAGCGAACUCUAGUUACAGAAUUUCCGUCCCACAAUGGUCACUGUGAAUAUGAAAUUCCACUUUUUGGAAACCACUCUCCAACCCUGUGACAUAAAAAGCUUUGGACUAAAGCUUAGUUUUCUUCUUUUCGGUGGUCUAAUACAGGGCCAUACCUCAGUGUAAUCGAAAGCAAAUACAACUGAUAGAAGAUGUUAACUUGUCUUCACGGUGUGACAACAAAGGCACGUCCAUCUCCUUUUCAGGAGAAAUCCUAUCAAUGUUUUUCAUUAGUUGGAGGGGGGUUACAUGUAUGACCAAACACAGACUGCUUAAUUUCGUAGGAAUUUGCUAAAUUCCCAUUUUGGUAGCUAAAUUAGCUUGUUGAUGAAAAAAAAAUUCAAUGAAGAGUCACGUUGCUAUUUCCCAAUUAGGAUCAUUUUCGGAAAGUGUUUGUUCUGAAAGAUUCCCUAAAGAGAGUGUUUUUUGGCUCAGCUGAAGCUGUAACUCAUUCAUUUCCAUACCUUUCCAUAACCAAGGCAUGGUAGGGGCUUGGCAAUUGCUGAGUUAAACUGACUGUUAAGAUUUAUUUGUAAACGCUUUGUUUUAGAUGCUUGGCGUAAAAGCAAGAAUGUGGAUUUUGGUGUCAAGUCUGCCUCAACAGAAAACGUGGCUGGACUAUGGCUCAGGGGACGCAAAUCCAACUAGCAUCCAUAAGGACGCAGGUUCAAUCCCUGGCCUCACUCACUUUUGGACUAAAGCUUAGUUUUCUUCCUUUCAAUGGUCUAAUACAGGGCCAUACCUCAGUGUAAGUGGGUUAAGGAUCUGGCGUUGCCAUGAGCUAUGAUGUAGUUUGCAGACAUGGCUCAGACCUGGCAUUGCUGUGGCUGUGGUGUAGGCUGGUGGCUAUAGCUCUGAUUAGACCCCCAGUCUGGGAACCUACAUAUGCCACAGGUGGGGACCUAAAAAGACAAAAAAAA
rnacentral:lncRNA from 1 species